rnacentral:lncRNA from 1 species
CACCUCUCCAGCCAGCAGGUAGAUGAUCUCCAUGGUGACAUUACCCAGAAUCCCUCACCUCUCCAGUCAGCAGGUAGAUGAUCUCCAUACUGACAUUACCCAGAAUCCCUCACCUCUCCAGUCAGCAGGUAGAUGAUCUCCAUACUGACAUUACCCAGAAUCCCUCACCCCUCCAGUCAGCAGGUAGAUGAUCUCCAUAAUGACAUUACCCAGAAUCCCUCACCUCUCCAGUCAGCAGGUAGAUGAUCUCCAUACUGACAUUACCCAGAAUCCCUCACCUCUCCGGUCAACAGGUAGAUGAUCUCCAAAGUUAGGUCCAAGAUCCUCUCUGUCAUCUGAUUCCGGUCCUUGUUCAUCUUCACUGAGCCAGUUAGAUGAUCGAACACUGGCCCAAGUCCUAGUAGAAACACCUGAAUCCUGUGUGAUUC